rnacentral:rRNA from 1 species
CCUACGGGAGGCAGCAGUGGGGAAUAUUGCACAAUGGGGGAAACCCUGAUGCAGCAACGCCGCUUGAGUGAUGACGGCCUUCGGGUUGUAAAGCUCUGUAAUCAGGGACGAUAAUGACGGUACCUGAGGAGGAAGCCACGUCUAAUUACUUGCCACCAGCCGCGGUAAUACUUAGGUGGCGACCGUUGUCCGGAUUUAUUGGGGGUAAAGGGAGCGUAGGCGGAGUUUUAAUUGAGAUGUGAAAUACCCGGGCUCAACUUGGGUGCUGCAUUUCAAACUGGAAGUCUAGAGUGCAGGAGAGGAGAAUGGAAUUCCUAGUGUAGCGGUGAAAUGCGUAGAGAUUAGGAAGAACACCAGUGGCGAAGGCGAUUCUUUGGACUGUAAUUGACGAUGAGGCUCG